rnacentral:lncRNA from 1 species
UACUACGCCGAUGAUGAUAAAGACAACGACAGGGACGACGACAACAACAAGGUCGGGAACAAUGACAAAAAUGAUAACAACAACACCGACGACCAUAACGACGACAACAAUAAAAAUAACAACAACAACAAUAGCAACAACAAACACCACCACCACCACAACAAUAACAACAAUAACAACAACAACAACAACAACAACAACAAAAACAACAACAACAACAACAACGACGACGACGACGACAACAAC